rnacentral:rRNA from 1 species
ACAACUAGGAUGUUGGCUUAGAAGCAGCCACUCAUUUAAAGAGUGCGUAAUAGCUCACUAGUCAAGAGAUCCUGCGCCGAAGAUGUCCGGGGCUCAAACUUACCACCGAAGCUAUGGGUGUACACUACGUGUACGCGGUAGGGGAGCUUUCUGUAUGGGUUGAAGUCGUACCGUAAGGAGCGGUGGACUGUACAGAAGUGAGAAUGCUGGCAUAAGUAGCGAGAAAUAAGUGAGAAUCUUAUUGGCCGAAAACCUAAGGUUUCCUGAGG